UAACAGGCUCCUAUCGAAGCCGUUCAUGCUCUUAUGUAGCAGUGAACGGUCAAACGGAAGCCGAGAUGAAGACUUCCACCGACGGUCGCUGUUCAGUUCAACUGUAACUGCUCCAGCAACAUUUAGGGGAAGGACACUU
ensembl:snoRNA